AGCUGCUAACAGAUGUUCAUGAUAGGCAAAACAUUUGCAAUUAAUUGACCACAUGCAGUUUCUAGUCAUAUUAUCAACAUUUGUCCUUGUGUUCCGACAUUAGCAGGGCAUCAUGUAAGAGCUAGGGAGUAUGAAUGAAGGAGUAUGACUGUGAGCAGGAGAAGAAGGACACAUGUCUCUAGGAAAUCAGUUUCAUUAGUUCUGCUGCUCAUGGAAAAAAUGUAAAAAGUAGGAUUCACCAUAAGGUCCCAAACUGGUCUUUGAGUCUACUCUUAUGAAUCCUGGUUUGUUCCUAAUUGCAGAUUGUCUUAAUGAGUCAUCUCUCCUUAACUUCCUCUUCACCAGGGAAAAAAUAACAUUCAGCACAGAUUGGAUGUGUCAUAAAAUAGCUAAAUCCCAGCUGGGUGGUCCCAGCAUGGAGCAUUUACACAGUUCUUCAGAAACAGCUCUUCUUGCUUCGUGACUCAUUGUGAGUAUGAAGAGCACCUCCUUACUCCAGGCUGAGGACAAAGCAUACUGCCUGGUCACCAACUGUUAUGAAGAGGGACACGUGACUGUGUUGGUGACAACGGAGGUUGAAAAAAACAGUGGGCUUGAGCUCAAGGAGUGGUAGCUGGUAAAUUUGUUCUGGGAAAUUCUGCAGACACAAGAUUUUGGUGCAGAUGGUUCGGGAGGGAACUCCCAAAAUGUCUUGUUUUAUAAAGAGUUUUAGGAAAUCUUCCUCCUUUUUUUAAAAAAAAAAAAAUAUAUUUAUUUAUUUAUUUUUGUUAUUACAAAUUUGUGUGAGACUCAAAUACAUAUAAUGCACACUUGGAGGAAUUAGUUAUCACAGCAUUGUACCCUAACUUCAGCCUGUUGCUACACAUAAAAUGCUGAACAAUGUAAGAGGAAGUGAGGAAAAAGACCUGGUGCUGCUGGGUUUUGAAAUGCUAUAAAAACGUUACUGAGAAAAAG
rnacentral:lncRNA from 1 species